rnacentral:misc_RNA from 1 species
GAUGAAGAACGUAGCGAAAUGCGAUAAGUAAUGUGAAUUGCAGAAUUCAGUGAAUCAUCGAAUCUUUGAACGCACAUUGCGCCCGCCAGUAUUCUGGCGGGCAUGCCUGUCCGAGCGUCAUUUCAACCCUCGGGACCCUUCGGGGAACCGGUGUUGGGGACCCGUCCGCCGACCCACGGCGGCCGGCCCCGAAAUACAGUGGCGGCACUGCGGCGACCUCCUCUGCGUAGUAGCGAUACCUCGCAGCUGGAAAGCGGCAGCGGCCACGCCGUAAAACCCCCACGUCUAUGGUUGACCUCGGAUCAGGUAGGAAUACCCGCUGAACUUAAGCAUAUCAAUAAGCGGAGGA